rnacentral:rRNA from 1 species
UACGAAGGGGGCGAGCGUUUGUUCGGAUUUACUGGGCGUAAAGGGCGCGUAGGCGGCCCUCCUUGUCGCGUGUGAAAGCCCCGGGCUCAACCUGGGAAUUGCGCGCGAAACGGGGGGGGCUUGAGUUCGGGAGAGGAGCGUGGAAUUCCCAGUGUAGAGGUGAAAUUCGUAGAUAUUGGGAAGAACACCGGUGGCGAAGGCGGCGCUCUGGACCGAGACUGACGCUGAGGCGCGGAAAGCGUGGGGAGCAAA